GGGGGUGCUUUGGUUUCGACAGGAUUCCAGAUGCGCUAGUUGCAUGCCGAGGUGGGCUGGCCUCGUAAAAAGCCCGAAAAAGAUAAUCGGCAACGAUUACGCAAUCGCUGCUUAAACAGCAGCGCCGAAUUUUCUCCCUCUCCCGCUGGGUGAAGCAUUCGGCCGCAAUGCGGGAUAGAGUCUUGCGCUUGCCUGAACGCAAAGCUCGAAAUUCUCAGGCUGGCUUUUGCUCUGCGCUAACCUUUACGGGCGUUUACAAAGGCGAGACUUUAAAUGCAAAGGAAACGCAUGUAUGAGCGAACGCAAACAGAAUUUUGGACAGGGGUUCGACUCCCCUCACCUCCAGUU
rnacentral:tmRNA from 1 species